UAUUGAGAAUGGAAAACAAAUAGAUGGGGGAAAAUAGCUCAGCCCCAACUCUUCUAGAGAGCAAAAACACCAUCAUCUCCAAAGAUUUGUCUCCAGAUUCUAUUUCUAAGCUCAAUGGAUUCCUCAAAAGCAUGGGGGUAUUCAACCUUACCUUUCCUUCACAGUAUGACACUAAGGACUCUUUCUCUGAACUCACCCGUGGCUUCCUCAAAGUCCAACACAUCCACCGUGGCAAGAUUUCUUGUAUUGUCUCUGUCAAACCUCCUAUCAUGAAUUUCUAUGGUUCACUGCAUGGAGGAGCGAUUGGAGCUCUAGCAGCAAGGGUGGCAACUGGCUGUGCCCGAACUAUUGUGGGAAAGGAGAAGGAGCUCUUUCUUGGAGAAUUGAGCAUAUCUUAUCUCUCUGGUGCUCCUCGAAAUGCAGAAGUAAUAGUUAAUGCAUCCGUUAUUAGGAGUGGAAGAAACCUGACUGUAGUUGCACUGGAUUUUAGAGUAAAAGAUUCUGAGAAACUGAGUUACAUCGCUCAUGCAACAUUUUAUCACAUGCCUGUAGCAAGUUUAUGAACUAGACCUGCUUCAACACAUUAAGCCAAGACAUCCUGCUGUAACCAGUUUCCAGGAUUCUGAUAAUGCGUGCAUUUUCUUCUCGUUGACAAGGUUUGGAACUAAACAACAUCAGCUUGAAAUUUAAAAUGUUCGUUGAAGUACUUUUAUUUUGAGGAGUUGGUCAAAUUAAAGCAUACUACUUUUUUCUGCUAUUUUGGUGAACUUCCAUCAGCUUGGUUCUCGAUCAAUUGACUUGUUCGGUUCCAAAACUUGUGUUUCCUUUGCAUUUGUGUACAUGGUUAUAUUCUGAUGUUCAACAAGCCCUUUUAACACCUCAAAAUCAUGUAAAAGUUUGUAACUGAUAAAGGUGGAAAGACCAGAUAACUCACAAUAUCAAGGGCUGGCAAUGUUUCGCAAUUUUAUCAAAAUCUGGAAGAGUUCAGCUAUGUUGCUGGAGCAAAGAUUAUUCUGUUUCUGGUGCUUAAAAAACAUUUGUGUAAAUAAAGUUGUCUACCUUUCUGCCAAAUAGUGAUGUAAUCUCUUGGCAGAUAACUGAUGGCAUCAUAUAUAGUCCUUUACACUCAGUAAUGGGAUAGAAGAAGGAAACUCUAGUCUAGAAAUGAGCAUGAUAAUCAUCCCUUUA